rnacentral:tmRNA from 1 species
GGGGGCGACCUGGUUUCGACGGGAUGACGAAGACCAUUGGCUGCAUGUAGUGUUUUCCCAAAAUCACUUUAAAAAAUUGGACGCCAAUUAUAAACGGCGAAUCUAACUACGCACUAGCUGCUUAAUUAAAUAGUAGCUCGUUCCUUCUCUGCUCUUGCCCAUUGGCAGGGUCUGGGGCGUCGCUAAAAUGGGAUCGGAGACUCAUUCG